UCUCUUCUCUUUUCUUUUCUUCUCCUCUCUCGGUCUUCCUCAAUCUCCUUUUUUUGAAGAAAAGAGGAAGGCCGGAGAGAAAA
rnacentral:ribozyme from 11 species